CUUGCCCGGGGCGCAAUCCCUUUGAUGUAUUGCGCAAUAUCCGGUCACUAGAAGAUCCUCCUCAGCUCGAGCAGCUUUCAGGUUGGCCCAUUCCUUUAUACAGGGGGAUCUGCGAAUGCGCAGCAGACAAUACUGCCCAUAUUGUUGUAUGGCAGUCCUGGGUGGGUAUAGAAGGGGCGGCCCUGCCACUCCUCGCCAUUUUCGCCAUUUCUUGGUUUUCUCUCGACUUGGACUCUCAAGAACCCUCUCUUCUCGGUCAGGCUUUGUGUUAUCACAGCUGCUGCUUCUAAUGGCUCCUGUGGCCAUUGAAGCUGGGUCUUUCAUGCAACUUUGUGUGACCAAGGCCUACCCUCUCUAGGUAAGAAA